AAGGCCCCCCCCUCCCAGGGGCCUCCAGGUAGACGGUGUUAUACUAGAGAUGUAACUGAGAGAGCCAAAUAGGCAGGCCAAGCUCCUUGAGGCUAGACCUAGACUGCUGCUGGGCUUUGCAAAACCCAACUGGGGAUGGGUCCUGGGCUGCUCUCUGUGGUUCUGAAGCACCAUCUCCCGCCAGUGUGGCUGCUCCCCCUUAAUCUGCAUCUCUGGUGUCUCCUAUACAGCCUCUGCCAGAAAUUCAAAAGCAGAGAGGGCUUUUAUUUUCUAUCUUCCAAAAUAAAUUUCAAAGUAUUAUUGGCAAACUUGAA
ensembl:lncRNA SYT2-AS1 SYT2 antisense RNA 1